UGAGAAGAGAUAGAAUUUUGAUGUCAAUAAAUAAGUGAAAUCAAUCUGAACAUUUUGUGCCAAAAAGGCCCAUGGUUGAAAAAGUAGAAUUUGGAGCGAAGAAAUCAAUAAAAAAUCAAAAAAAAAAAAUAGCACAGGAUGGCGCAAACAAUAAAUUGCCAACAAAAAUUUGAAUCAAACAGAUUAACUUUUAAACUCUGAUUUAUUAUCAUUAAUAUACAUCAUUCUACGCUAAUUUUUUUUUCCAAUGUUUGUACAGUUAAACAACUUAAAAUUUUUGUGAAUUGAUAUUUUUUCAAGUUGAGGCACAGAAUUUUGAUAUUGAUUUCAUUUCUUUAUUAACCUCAAAAUUCAGGAAAUCUUUCAUUAAUAUGCCUUUUCAGCACAGAAUUCGGGUAUUGAUUACUUUUUUUUUAUUAAGCUCCAAAUUCUAAUUUUUCAACCAUGGGCUUUUUUGGCACAGGAUUUUGAGAUUGAUUUCAUUUAUUUAUUAACAUCAAAAUUCUAUCUUUUCUCACAAUCGCUUUAACUUACGCACAGAAAGCCUUUUUUACUUCUCCGAAGUACUUUUUUGUGGAUUUCAAUUAUUUUUCCGAAGCACGUUUUAUAGUGACAUCUCGGGACAAUGUAAUUCUUUUGAUUCAAAUAUCAAAAUGUGAGCGUUUUUUUAAUUCUGAGGUAACUUGCAUAUGUUUCGUGCUUUGGUUGUUUAUAUAUAUCCAGUUGGUCUUGUUUUCCCUGAUCAUGAUGCUGUAUCUGCCAGAUUUAAGAUUAUUUUCAUAGAAAACGCAACUGUGUAGCUUAUAGAAGUGAUUGUUAAUUUUUAGUACAGAUGUUGGUAAAGCCUUUAUAUUGUAAUUACAGAAUAUAUAAUCCUCAGGGUUGCUAUUAUCGGAUAUUUCCAACUGUAAUUGAACUAUCAAAAUUUUGUUUGUAAUUUUUGGAUCGACUUGAACGUUCAAUGAAUCGCUUAAACAUCUAGUCCAGGUUUUUUUAAUUGAAUGCUGGAAAUCCAUAAGCGUAUUUAACUCAUAUGUUUUUUUCGGAUCAUUUUUUAUGGAUACUUGCAAAAUAUUUGUCUGAAAUUCUUGGACAUUUUUACAGGAACACACAGUACCAGUUUUAAUAUAAACACCCUUAAACGUAACGACAUCAUUGAUCUGAUUACUUUUAUUUAAAAUUGAAUGUAAAAAGUUGGGUAUUGUUAUGUUAUUAUUUGUAGCAAAAGUAUUUCAUGUUCGACAAAAAGCAUAAAUUCUCGUAAAUCUUGCAGCCUGUUUGCCUCAUAAUUAUCGAUCAUCAUAUUUAAGAUAUGAUCUGGUGGAAGUUUUUUUAUUUCAUUUCUCAAUGAUGAAUUCGAUAAUAGUUAGAGGAAUUUAACUGCUGCAAAUGAGCUGAAGCCGUCAUCUGGAAACCUUCUAAGAUUGGAUAUAUUAUUCUGGAUCGUUAUUUUUUUGAACUCCUAAAACUUCUCUAAGAAUAGUCCAAACCUGUUCAGCAUGGCUAUGAGAUCACGGCAAUUUAUGGCGGGAAGAUAAUAACCUACCAAGUCAGGUCUAAAUUUUUGUCUCAAGGAGUUGUAUUGUAAAAUUAAUAAUGUAACUGCAACAACUUUAAAAGUAUCAUAAUUGAUCAGGUGUAGGCCAGUCAAAGAAAUUACUCUAGAUAGGGCUACAUAUAUUUGUCCCUUCAAAAAAGGAUGGGCCCCUGCGUCAAUGAUCACAUUCUUUAAACUAAUGCCUUGACUUUUGUGUACAGUUAUAGCAUAGCUCAAGAUCAAAGGAAACUGUUUUUUAUUGACAUAAACGUCAUUUGAUAUUUCAAAAGUAACCUUUACCUGUUCAAUCCCAUGGAUUUCAUGAUUCUAGCAUUUAUUUUAAUCGUUAUUUUCUUAGGCAAACCCGCUGUGACAGACGAGUCUUCGUUUUUUCCAAUUUUUUUUUUAGUAUACUGCCGUUGUUGUGGGUUCUUAGUGUUUAUUUUAUUAUUGGCGAGCAGCUUGAUUUCCGGCUCGUUAUUUCUGGCUAACAUAGCCUCGUUCAAUGUAUCGCACAUAUCUUUCGUAAGCAUUAUGCAAACAGCAUCACCAAGAGCUUCCACAUAAACACAGAGUUUGUAUAAUCUUUCACCUAGGUUAUGGGAAUUUAAAUUAAUCAUUUGUGUUUUUAAAUUUUUCGUAUCACUUAUAGUGCCUACCCGCUAAUUGGCAAGAAUUGUUUUGUAAGUGUCAUUAUCUUUUUGACGCAUAUUUAUUCUUGAUUUAUCGUAGUUCAGUAGAGACCAAAAAUCUACUGGAGCAAUGGACUGUAAAUUUAUUCAAAGUUUCGGUUGAAACAGGCACGAAAACGGGACCAUCACUAAUAGGUGGUAGUUGCAGUAAAUCGCCAUAAACCAACAAAUGCAUUUUUCCCAACCAGCCAUCUUCGUCGUUAAAUUAAUUGAAUAUUUAAACUAAUCUCAAAUGCAUGUAUAAAAAUUGACAUUUGAAACCAUAGAUAUUUCAUCGAGAAUCACCAUAGCUACAUUUUUAAGAGCUUUUCUAAUUGCAUCUAGCGCUGUGUCAGAAAAUGGAUAGUAUUAAGGCGUGCCUCUUAUAUGUUCAAUGAGUAGUUGCAAAAAUCGGUGCAUGGUUAAACCUCUUACAUUGAAAGUAGCUAUGCCCGUUGGGGCUAGAAUUGCGACAUAUAUUUUGAGUUCCUGAUGAUUAGCGUGAACUAAACAUUUUAUGACGUAAAUUUUUCCUGUGCCAGCUUCGCCAUUAACGAACUUUCAACAUAAUUUGUUACCAUUCUUAACUGAUUGAAAGACUGAAUUAAAAACCCUUCGUUGAUCCUCAUUCAUGGAUUAUACUCCUUUUCGCUAAUCAAAAUUGACUUCAGCUUCUUGUUUUUUGUUUCCCUGAAAAUCAUCCAUGGCAUUCUCGACUUCUUCGGGCACACAACUCAAAUUCUCAAAAAUGUCAUUAUUUUAUUCUUGUGAGUUUUGCUAUUGUUGCUCUUCAUCUUCAAUAUUUUAAGUCAUUUGUUUCAGAAUUAUCUCUUGGUUUGUUAUUUUUUCGAAAUACGAAACUACGUCUGGUAAAUUACCUUUUUUAGCAUAAAGGAACCCUGGUACGUCUUGCAAUCAUUUAAAAGUUCGUCCGUCGAGAUCCAUUGCUAUCUCAGCAAUAGUAUAGAAUAAUAAAAGUUCUCCGGCUGCGUUUUUACUUUGAAGAUGUAAUGACUGAUAACGUAUGGUUUUGCUCGCUUGAUUAAAUAUUUUGUUACAAUUUUAUUAGCGAAACUACUUCUAAUUUCAAAAAAUUUUCUGGUUUCUCUUUUAGGUUUUUUAGGUUUCAAUUCGUACCACUGUGCAAAUUUAUAUAGGCACAUGUCUGUUAAUUCGAUCGGUCUAUUGGGAUAAAGAUCAUCAAUGAAUUAACUGUAAAAUACGGCUUCCGAUUCUUCUUGAAGUUUUUGUAUUUGAUUUAUCGGAAGAACUCUUUUAUUUCUUAUCAUGAAAACAUUUGGCCACUUUAAAACUGUGUUAUUAUUAGUGUCGUAUAACGAAAUCAUUAAGCAUACAUCUGCAGCAUAAACAUGAAGCAUACAUGCUGCUUCGAUUACACCACAUUCUUUGUUAUAGAGUGUUCUCAUAGCAAAGCUCCACAGCUUCUUGGUAAAACCCUCAUUAGCAAGAGCGCGUUCCGAAAUAUUCUGUUCCAAUGCUUUCUCAUUUUUUAAAAUAUAUUUGAGGAUGUAUGUGACUAAUGCCAUCGAAUGAUUGCUCACAAAUUGAAUAUCCGUGUUUCCAUUCCACAACAUCAUAACUUAUGAUUCAUAAGUAUGGGGACAUAAUCAUUAAUAUUUGAUUCAGUGAAUUUGCGUGGCAGAUCAUAAAGCCUAGUUUUUGCUUUCAAGUUUCGCCUGCCAACAAUAGAAGUUUGAACGUUUCUCAAAAUAAAUUCUUCUGUAACUGGCCUGUCGAACCCUAAACGACAGACUUUGAUGAACUCCCUUUCAGUUUUCUUAUUUCUCGUGCAGUACGAAUUGUGCUUAUAACGCUGAAAUCGUAAAGCGUGGGUGACGUAUUUUUAUCAGGUAAUACACAUGAGGAACCCCUCAUAAUAAACUGGGCUACUUCUUCCUCAGAUAAAACACCGAGUAUUGGAGCACUUUCAAUCCAAACUAGCAUAUGGAAAUGACACAUUCCUCUCUGUUGAUAUUCAUGUCUCCAAAAGUGGUGUAAACACUUUCCACCAAGCGGAUCAUUAUCGGAAUAAAUGCACUUUAAAAUGACCUCGAACUGAUUAUCCAAAUACCUAGCGACUGAUACUGGAUCUAAAGCCAAUAUUUCAUUGAUGCUCAUUUUUGACUUAAUAUCAGGGUUGACAUCUCGAAUGUACUGAAUCAGUUCUGGGUCAUUCCACUUUCCAGGGCUGAAGGUAACAAACAAAGUGUAACGGUCAAAAGUAGAUGAGGAUCCGUAUUUGAUUUUCCUCAUUAAAUAUUAUAACCAUUUUAAAUAAAUGUGCGACCACUUCAUCAUCUAUAAUGCCAAUGGAUGAAAACACUUUGGAAUUCCCUCCAAUCAUUCAGUAAUUGCAUACCUCUCUAUCCAGUUGUGUAAGGUGUGUUAGUGGGUGGCCAUAUAAUAAUUGUAUGAUAACGAGUAUUGGCCAAUUAUUAUAAUUAUUAUUAUUAUUGUUUCAAUGAGCCAGUUUUCGUAUAUUUCUGUAAAAUAUUUUACUGGUUCACUUUCAGUCGCAUAAAUUGCCGGUCCAUAUUCUUUAAUCAUGGCGUUCAAAUCACACGUAGGCUUUUUCUAAUAUUCUUUGGUAUUUCUUACUCUGCUAAAGACGUUGUUUAUCUGAUUUUCUCCAUCAUCAAAAUCUCCGUUUGCUAUCUUUUAAAGAUAGAUUUAUUUUGUAAACUUUUGGUUACCUUUAGUUAAGUUUAGCGUGUGAUAAGCUCCACCAUUUUCUUGACGCAUGGUAGCGUUAUUCAUCAUAUGAAACAGAUGUUGCGAAUUUUUUCUAUAUCUCGGAUGUUUAGAUGUAACUCUCGCUUUUAGGCAAUCGCAAUCACGAAUAGAUUGGAAUCUGUCUUCGUGUAUUCCAUUUUCACCUUUCGGAUAAAUAUCAAGAAAACACAAUAUAUUUAAUUUUUUUUCAUACCAAGGCAUAGGAGUAUCGUGAACUUUCUUUUGUUGAUACAAUUUGGUGGCCGAAUUCAUGGUACGACCUGAUUGAAUCGGAAAUACCGUGUAUUGUUCAUACAUUGGGUCCGAAUUGCUUGAACAUGUUAGAAUAGCACUAUCAUGGAUAGUGUGUUCACCAUUGUCGUACGGUGAAUGAUCUUGGUUAUUAUUUUGCUUGUUUGUGACGACUUCAUUUUUUUUUUCAGCAUCGGUUUCAUCUUGGAACUCUGUUUGCGUUCCAUAAUUUGUGCGAUUCAAUCUGAAGAUUCUAGAAACUCAAUUAAAGAAUAUAAAGAAUUUUUAUUUUUGUACCUUAACAAAGCUUUCGUGAACGUCUAUCAAAAUUUGCCAAACUUAUUUCGCAACAUUUGGGAUUGAUCUGACUAGAAUGUACAACUCGUGAUUGAGAUUUAAAAUAUUUGUUUCCUUACAUAACUUCUUGAAAGUUUGUACAAUAGGUAGUGGCAAGUGAUACGCUAUUUUAGAAUCUUUCUUAAUUUGUUUCUUGAAUGGCAAAUUUUUAUUCAUUACGGUUUUGGUAGACGUAAUUUAUUGGAAAAAUUUUACACGCUGCACCAGUGACGUAUUUAUAGGAGGGGAUAUGGGGGAUAUAUCCCUUCCCUUACCCUUUUUUUCCAUUUAUAAAGUAAAAACUGCACAACUGUUGUUAUUUAUAAUUUCGUUAUCCUGUGGGCUGUGACUGACAACAUGUGAGAGACAUUACACAACAAUAACUACACAAAAUUAAAAUAGAACCAUAUUCAGAAUUCGAGUAAAACCCGCUUGUACCUACCAUAUAAUAAAAAUAGCACAUUGCUAUACUAAAUAUUUACAAAAUUUGCCGUGCACAAAACUGCUUUCUAAAGCAACACAGCGGACUAUAGGAAAUCGUGAAUUUUAUAAUAAAUAUUAUUUCUAAUAGCAUCGCAUUAUCGUGGUUGCACAUUUGUACAUCAUUCCACCUUCCCGCUCUCCGAGUAACAAUAUAUCCGCAUUGCCAUUGCACACUUGUUAUUUUUAUGUACCUAUCUAAUUCUUUUUUUGAAGUAAAUAAAUAAAUUUUAAUUAAAUAAUCGAAAGUUAUAACUCAAUGGCAUCAAAAAAACCAUGCAGUAAUAAUUUAUUAUCAUAUUUUACAAAAAAUAAAAAGCACGCACAGGUUCAUAUGAAAAUAAUGAGGUAAGUCUGAUUUAUUACGUUUUAAUUGCAUACAUUGUAAUAUUUUUUUAUUUGUUAAGAUUGCUACCACUACGGUGGAUGGAAUAAUUGUUGAUAGUCAAAAAGUCUCUUCAGAUAGAGACAGUAAUAUUCGACUAUUUGAUCUUAAUUUACAAUCGAGUAAAGUUGAUUUUGGUUGUGGAAGUAAAAAUGAAAAAACACUAGCCAGUCCCAAUAAUGAUAUUGGAUUUAUAGAAGAUAGAGUAGUAUUGACAGAAGAUGAUAAAAAGCUUUUAAGUUCAUUCUUGAAGCAAAUUUAGAGAAGUGCUUACGGAUUUGUGUGUACCAGAUGAUUUUUACAAAUUCCCAUUACUCGAAAAAAAAUAAGAAACGUGGCUUACGGUUUCAACAAAAAUGGCUGAAAGAGUUAAAUUGGCUGGCAUAUUCAAAUGUAAAAAAUGGUACUUUUUGUAAAUACUGUAUCCUGUUUACAAGAAAUAGUGGGAUUGGAAAUUAACCUUUAGAGAAUCUUGUUACUGUCGCAUUCACUAACUGGAAGAAAGCAAAUAGGUAUAUAGAGUUAAUUCCAGUUUAAAAUAUCAUACUUCUUCUGUACUAGAUUCUGAGCAAUUUUUGAAAAUAAUGGAAAAAAAGGAACCUAUAAUUUAACGAAUAGAUAAAAAUAGAAUACCUACUAUAAAUAGAAGAAAAUAGAAAAAGAAUUAAAACAAUUAUUGAAUGCAUUAUAUUAUGUGGUAAAGAAGAAUUGGCUUUAAGAUAUCUCUAAUCACCGUAAAGAUGUUGGUCCAAUCAAUGUUGAUGAUGAUAUAAGACAAGGUCAUUUUCGUGCCAUAUUGAAGUAUAGAGCCAAAAGAGACGACUUUCUACAUACUGUUCUGGAAGGUUUUGGUAAACGUAAUAAGUACAAUAGUCCAGUCAUUCAAAACGAAAUAAUCCAGAUAUAUCGACAAAAGAGCAGCUCUCUAUACGUGUUCGUUAUAUUGAUUAACAAAAUAUGCUAAAUGAGGACUUUUUACAGUUCUUUGAAAUUAAAAGUUUGACCGUUGAUGUCUUGGCAAAUUCAAUAUUAAAUGUUUUUUAGGUUUAAAUAGAUGCGGUCUAGAUUGUAAUUAUUCAUAUGGCCAGGGCUACGAUGGGGCCAGUUAUAUGACUUGCCAAUUUAAAGGAGUUCAAACUCUUGUACGGUCUAAAUAACCCAAAGUUUUGUAUGUGCACUUUGCUGCACAUUUGUUGAAUUUGGCAGCUUCAACAGGAAGUGGAAUAAAACCUAUCAGAAAUUGUUUAGAACUCAUUGAAAAAGCGUACACAUUUUUUAACACCCCCAAAAGGAAUUGUAUUCUUGUACAUGUAAUUGAAAAUUUUUACAAUGAACCUAGCAUAAAACAAUUGAAACGACUUUGUGCCACACUCUGGAUUCAACCCUAUGAUUCGGUAAAUUAUUUUUCAGAGCUAUUCCCAUUUGUUCUUUCAGCAUUAAAAAUUAUUUAGAUUGAAUGAAUCAAUUAAUACUACUCCUACAAGGGCAUCUAAAAUAAUAAAAUGUUGGGAAAAUAAAAAUAAAAAUAUGUCUGCCACUCGAAUGAACGAAGAUAAAGCAUUGUCAUUACUAAAUGCUAAAUUAACUAAACAUCAGAGUCAACUUAUUAGAUUAAAUGCUUAAGAAAACAAUUCAGAUAAAAACUUACCAACCUUACAACUUAAUAAGAGAAGCAAAAACACGGUGCUAUCCUCCCAAAGAAGCGUUUAUAAUUACUGAAUCUCUUGCUGAAAUUUAUCUGCAAGAACUCCUUGAUCACACGGCUUUUCGUAUAAUAAAAUGUCAGUGGAGUGUAGUUGAUGGUUUUUCUACCGAGAAUAUUACUUCAAUGACUUUGAUUACGAAAUGGGGUUUUGAUCGCAGUACAGGUCAUAGUGAAUAUAAGCUAAAAUACAACGAAGAUUUUAGUGACUCACAAGUACUUUUAAUGUCAUUAGUACCUAUUCAGUUAUUUGUCAGUAUAUCCCAUUCACACAAAUUAUAUGGAAAAAUCCUCAGCCAUAUUGUACAAGGUAUUUUCGACCAAUACGAUUUCAGUUUAAAAAAGAAACAAAAGAAAUAAAUUUAAAAGAAAAAAAAUACAUCCAAAAUCAAAUUAAAGAAUUAAAACUGAUCAAAUUAUCAAUAAAUAACUAUUAUAUAGAUAUUUCACUUGACAUGCAACUUAUAAUGGUCGAUGGAAAAGUUUGUAAUGCAAUUAUAACCAUUACUUCAGCACAAAAACGUUAUAUUUGUAAGACUACACCAGUAGAAAUGAAUCAAAUCGAAAAAGUUAUAAAUAAGGAGAUAGACCCAACAUAACUUUUUAGCCUUUCAACUCUACAUGCUUGGAUUUGGUUUUUUGAAUAUUUUUUACACAUUUCUUACUGUCUGGAUAUAAAAAAGUGGCAACUAAGGGGUGAAGAUAAAGACAAAUUUUUAUCUAGGAAAAAAAAAUUCAAGAAAAAUUUAAAAUCAUUAUGGGGUUAAAAAUAGAUUAUGUAAGAUCAGGAGAUGAAGGAACAUCUAAUGAUGGGAACACUUCUCGAAGAUUUUUUGAUAACCUUCAAAAAGCAGCUGAAAAACAGGAAUAAAAGAAAUCAUUAUUAAAAAUUGUGCAACAAUUCUUAAAAUGAUUCUUAAAGUCUUAAAGAUUGUCAUCUGGUUAUGCAAUAAAUGAAGAAUCAUUCAGUAAAUACGCAAUUGAAACAGCUAAAUUGUUAGUAAAAGAAUAUCUUUGGUACUAUAUGCCAUCCUCAGUACAUAAAAUAUUAUUACAUGACUCAUUAGUUAUUUCUACUGCUUUACUUUCCAUUGGCCAAAUGUCCGAAGAAGCACAAGAAGCACGCAAUAAAAACCUAAAAAAUAUUCGCGAAAAUUAUUGUAGAAAAUGUUCUAGGGUUGAAACAAAUGAAGUCCUAUUACAUGGUUUUAUUACAUUAGUGUCAUCUGAUCCAGUCAUUUCUAGCCUAAGAAUGUUACCACCUAAAAAAAUUUAUUUUUCUCUCAAGAAGUAUUACAAUUACUUAUUGCAGCACAAUGAACAAAUGAUUUGAAAAAAAAAUAGUUCAAGUGCAAGU